rnacentral:rRNA from 5 species
AAUUCUAAUUUAAUAGAAGUCAAGUUAUGGUCUGAGAGAUAACUUAAAAAUGGUAAGUUAUUUAGGAACAAGAUAAAAGGCAAAACACCAAACUUCAUACAAACUUAAAUGUUUGACAUUUAAAAAUUAAAGAGAUUUUUUUUAACGUGUAUUUGAGACAAAUAAGCCAACCUUGGUACAUAACCGCUGAAAACUAAAAAACCGUACCCUAAACCAACACAGGUGGAUAGGUCGAGUAGACUAAGGUGUAUGAGAUAAUUAUGUUGAAGGAACUCGGCAAAAUGACUCUGUAACUUCGGGAGAAAGAGUACCUUUUUAUUUAAGUGUUUAUCGACG